rnacentral:rRNA from 1 species
UACGUAGGGGGCUAGCGUUGUCCGGAUUUAUUGGGCGUAAAGAGCGUGUAGGCGGCCAGGUAGGUCUGCUGUGAAACUCGAGGCUCAACCUCGAGACGUCGGCUGAACCAUCUGGCUAGAGUCCGGAAGAGGAGAGUGGAAUUCCCGGUGUAGCGGUGAAAUGCGCAGAUAUCGGGAAGAACACCCGUGGCUAAGGCGGCUCUCUAGUACGGUACUGACGCUGAGACGCGAAAGCGUGGGGAGCGAACAGG